rnacentral:rRNA from 1 species
AUUGAACGCUAGCGGGAUGCUUAACACAUGCAAGUCGAAAGGAGAGGCGAACGGGUGAGUAAUGUAUCGGAACGUGCCCAGUAGCGGGGGAUAACUGCGCGAAAGCGUAGCUAAUACCGCAUACUCUUGGAGCGGCCGAUAUCGGAGUAGCUAGUUGGUGAGGUAACGGCUCACCAAGGCGACGAUCAGUAGCUGGUCUGAGAGGACGACCAGCCACACUGGGACUGAGACACGGCCCAGACUCCGACGGGAGGCAGCAGUGGGGAAUUUUGGACAAUGGGGGCAACCCUGAUCCAGCCAUCCCGCGUGGGCGAUGAAGGCCUGCGGGUUGUAAAGCACUUUUGGCAGGAAAGCGGUACCUGCAGAAUAAGCACCGGCUAACUACGUGCCAGCAGCCGCGGUAAUUC